rnacentral:tRNA from 1 species
GUGUAAGAAGUAUAAAUAUGUACAAUAAGUUGUGGUCUUAUAGGGGAAGAUUUCCUUGUAGA